GCUGAAUAUAACGUCUAAAGGAAAUAUCUUGACGCCGCACUUGUUUAAAAUAUAACAAGGGUGUCGCAGCUGGGGUUUGAUAGUCGCGUUUUAAGCAAUGUGGGAACUUUUUCAGCAUGUAAUCUGAGCUUGUAAUACGGUCCUCCGGGUGUUAUCGCUAUAAGUAAUCGGUCUGAAAGAACAGACGGCAGAAACUGUCGGAAAUCUGGAGAAAGGAGUCACCUUAGUAGUGAAUAUUAACAAAUUACAGCAUUCUAGUCUUUUUUUUUCUUCCAAACUUGAAAGGGCACAAAAGCAUGCUCAGACUCUGCUCUCCUGUGUCCAGUAGUCCCAAACAAACAUCUAAAUUUAAAAAUGAAAACUUUGCAUAUCGAGAGGAUUCACUCUAAAGAUUUGGUUUAUUUUAUUUAAUUUACUUUUUUUUUUUUAAUGAAUAUUUCUUUGAACUGAAAGAAGUAUUACAAAAGGUUUUAAUGUGUGUGAUAUACGGUUUUUACCCAUGUAAAAAUGUGGUGAUAAAUAUUCUUACAUGGAAUUUAGAGUUUGUACUACCAUUUAUCUUGCAGACAAUGAGGUUGAUGGUGACACAGUUGACUGCGGUCUUACUGAGACUAUGGUUGCAUACCUUUUCCAAGGAUCCUUCAAAAAGCAGGUUAAAUUCAACCAAUUUGUGUCAAGGAUGAAGGAAUCUUCAGUGACGCUGACUCUACAGACUGUCUCUCCAGAAGACUGGCAACCAUCUACUUCGUCAACUUCAAUAAGGGACCAUGCGUCCAAGGAGAGGAUUUAUUAUCCAUAGACGCCCACUUAAAGGUCUUACAGUGCCAAUAUCAGAAGAUGCAACCAGAUACCAUGGUGGUUCAUAACCAUAUGCAGCAAACGUUUGCUUGGCGGCAGAAAGAAAUUGCAAAUGGUAUGCCUGUGGAGGAUGUGUUGAAGAAGUACCCCUUCUUAGGGAUGCCUACUGGUCAAAGGUGAUUGACGUUACACGAGGGAAAACCCCACUCUACCAGCUCUACCUUGAUGCAAGAGAGGAGGCUCUCACUGAUGACCUACCAGAUCUUGACACAAGGGCUGCACUUUUAUUCCUGCCAUACGUCUUCAAGGAGAAACUGGAUCUCUUUGUCAUACUUGGAGAGGUUUAUCCUAAAACCCCCUAUCCAACUGUUCAGCUACUUUAUGAAGACUGGAAACCAGUGUUCUCCAGAAGCGCUCCAAACAUUGUGAAGUUGGAUGGCAGUGAAGUGUGCAGAAGCUCGUGUAUUUUUGAAGCAAUCAUCUCUUCUUUCUGCUUGUAUUUUGUCUUCAACCUUGCUUACCCAAAACAUCUGAAGAACACCCUGAUUUUUCUCCAAAAGUACAUUGUGAAAAUAGAUGAGGGUGAGGACCGGCCUCUACCAAUCACAGUCACCAGACAAAUAAAUCUUCUGUAUUGACCACCAUGCCUCAGCCAUAUCAGUGCUCCAAAUGUGGCAGAAGAACCUUUAGUUUGACAAAGCUUAUUCAGCACAUAGGUGAUGCCAAUUUUGAUAUAACCUGUGGACUCAGUGACUGCUGUUCUUCCUUCAAAAAAUAUGAAUCUUUCAGACGACAUGUGUAUAGGAAACACAGAGAACAGGUGUUGUGUUAAUAUUGACACAAUGUGGGUCUUUUGUGGAAAAAUUCUCAUUCCUCUGUUAUAUGACAACCAUUUUCAUUCAUACAGUGUUAGAGUUGAUAGUGAAUGGACGUUGCUAAAACCUGGACAGGAAAUUGAU
ensembl:lncRNA